GAUGAACGCUGGCGGCGUGCUUAACACAUGCAAGUCGAACGGAACGCCAAGGAAAGAGUUUUCGGACAAUGGAAUUGGCUGUUUAGUGGCGGACGGGUGAGUAACGCGUGAGUAACCUGCCUUGGAGUGGGGAAUAACACAGUGAAAACUGUGCUAAUACCGCAUGACAUAUUGGUGUCGCAUGGCACUGAUAUCAAAGAUUUAUCGCUCUGAGAUGGACUCGCGUCUGAUUAGAUAGUUGGCGGGGUAACGGCCCACCAAGUCGACGAUCAGUAGCCGGACUGAGAGGUUGGCCGGCCACAUUGGGACUGAGACACGGCCCAGACUCCUACGGGAGGCAGCAGUGGGGAAUAUUGGGCAAUGGGCGCAAGCCUGACCCAGCAACGCCGCGUGAAGGAAGAAGGCUUUCGGGUUGUAAACUUCUUUUAACAGGGACGAAGCAAGUGACGGUACCUGUUGAAUAAGCCACGGCUAACUACGUG
rnacentral:rRNA from 1 species